rnacentral:rRNA from 1 species
GAUAAACGCUGGCGGCGUGCCUAAUACAUGCAAGUCGAGCGAACGGACGAGAAGCUUGCUUCUCUGAUGUUAGCGGCGGACGGGUGAGUAACACGUGGAUAACCUACCUAUAAGACUGGGAUAACUUCGGGAAACCGGAGCUAAUACCGGAUAAUAUUUUGAACCGCAUGGUUCAAAAGUGAAAGACGGUCUUGCUGUCACUUAUAGAUGGAUCCGCGCUGCAUUAGCUAGUUGGUAAGGUAACGGCCUACCAAGGCAACGAUGCAUAGCCGACCUGAGAGGGUGAUCGGCCACACUGGAACUGAGACACGGUCCAGACUCCUACGGGAGGCAGCAGUAGGGAACCUUCCGCAAUGGGCGAAAGCCUGACGGAGCAACGCCGCGUGAGUGAUGAAGGUCUUCGGAUCGUAAAACUCUGUUAUUAGGGAAGAACAUAUGUGUAAGUAACUGUGCACAUCUUGACGGUACCUAAUCAGAAAGCCACGGCUAACUACGUGCCAGCAGCCGCGGUAAUACGUAGGUGGCAAGCGUUAUCCGGAAUUAUUGGGCGUAAAGCGCGCGUAGGCGGUUUUUUAAGUCUGAUGUGAAAGCCCACGGCUCAACCGUGGAGGGUCAUUGGAAACUGGAAAACUUGAGUGCAGAAGAGGAAAGUGGAAUUCCAUGUGUAGCGGUGAAAUGCGCAGAGAUAUGGAGGAACACCAGUGGCGAAGGCGACUUUCUGGUCUGUAACUGACGCUGAUGUGCGAAAGCGUGGGGAUCAAACAGGAUUAGAUACCCUGGUAGUCCACGCCGUAAACGAUGAGUGCUAAGUGUUAGGGGGUUUCCGCCCCUUAGUGCUGCAGCUAACGCAUUAAGCACUCCGCCUGGGGAGUACGACCGCAAGGUUGAAACUCAAAGGAAUUGACGGGGACCCGCACAAGCGGUGGAGCAUGUGGUUUAAUUCGAAGCAACGCGAAGAACCUUACCAAAUCUUGACAUCCUUUGACAACUCUAGAGAUAGAGCCUUCCCCUUCGGGGGACAAAGUGACAGGUGGUGCAUGGUUGUCGUCAGCUCGUGUCGUGAGAUGUUGGGUUAAGUCCCGCAACGAGCGCAACCCUUAAGCUUAGUUGCCAUCAUUAAGUUGGGCACUCUAAGUUGACUGCCGGUGACAAACCGGAGGAAGGUGGGGAUGACGUCAAAUCAUCAUGCCCCUUAUGAUUUGGGCUACACACGUGCUACAAUGGACAAUACAAAGGGCAGCGAAACCGCGAGGUCAAGCAAAUCCCAUAAAGUUGUUCUCAGUUCGGAUUGUAGUCUGCAACUCGACUACAUGAAGCUGGAAUCGCUAGUAAUCGUAGAUCAGCAUGCUACGGUGAAUACGUUCCCGGGUCU